rnacentral:lncRNA from 1 species
GCCAAGUGUAGCUUGAGGGGGAUGCAGAGCCUGCUAAUCUAUAAGGUGCUCCUUGAGGGUCUAGCCCUCACCAGCCACUCAGAUCACCUGCAGCAGCACCUGCCUAUCACUCAGCACUUUGAACAGAACCAGCCCCUCCACCCCAGCAAGAGACUCCAGCUGGAAGAGAAAACUUCUAAGCCCCCAAGGGAGGGAACACCUCCUCUGAGCCCUAAGGAUGAGGGGAGCCUAUGGCAAAAGAAGCUAUAGGCAGCAGCAUCUUGAGGUCUAGAGAAUAACUGGAUUUGUUGAGUGAGAUUCUGGACAGUCUGAGUGUUGGAGCCAAGAGUGCAGGCAGCCUGAGACCAGGCCAGAAUUUAAACUGCUGUCACAGAGGGGACCUAGACAGCUGAUUCAUCCUGGAAGAGCAAGAUAGCAACCAGACAAUGAGAAACUGCCAGAGCUUCAGCCCCUGUCCCUGCCUGCAGACCUGCCGUCUCUGCAAAAUGCCUCAUCUGUGGAUGCUACAAGCUUCUCAAGGAAUCUCAAGUCCUAGCUGUCCUAGAGGCUAACCAAGAAGUCAUCUCUCCAUUUCAGUCCUCAACAGCUCCUGCAGACCCAAGUAGCGGAGGGGACCCCGAACACUCUCCUCUCACAGAGUCCCUAAUCCUUUAUCUUUCCCCUCCCUACAAGGCAGCCAAACAUUCUAGAGCCCAGGAAAGCCCCAGUUCCAGGCUCUCCACAGUGCCCACCCAGCCCAGCCCUCCAGAAAGCCCCCAAAUUCCAGCCCCCACAAAGUCCAACUUUGAUAUUGUCCAGAUAGUCCAGCCUCUUGAUCCUUCCCCAGACCCUAGUUCUCCAGAGAAUCCCAGAGCCCAGCCUCGCAAAGUCCUGCUAGCAGAGCACACUCACCUCCAGUCACUGGAAGAAUUGGGAGGCCUGAAUUCCAUCACCCACCAGCAACCAGCAGGAGCCCCAGGCCAGGAGCCAGCCCAGAGUGGCUGAUCUUAAGUGCUUUGACGGUUAAGGAUCAAGGGUCGGGAGGAGACUCCUGUCCUUCAAUAAAGCCACAAGAGCCAGAAGCUGGUUUUUCCUGGUGAAUUUCUCUAAGGCCCUCUCUCUGGAGGGGAACACAACCUACCCACCUCUCACCCUCCAAGGGCAGCCUCUUUAACUGGAUUCUAGAAGGGAGUUCCAGGAAGCCCCCCAAUACCCUAGGAUCCUUACAACCUUGCAGUUCCUCUGCAUUUGUGUCUUCCGUCUUGGCUAAUGCCUCCAACAGCUCAAAACAAGCAAACUUUAUUAUACUUCACUAUUAAUUUUAUAUAAGUAUAUAAAAAGUUAACAGCCCUGCCCUCCCUUGUCCUCAGGAGCAGUCUUUGAAACAGCUUCUUCCAUGCUAUUCUUAAGAACUGGGUGGAUCUGACUGCCCAGAGAGGGCUCUACCUUUCCCCAAGGUCACACAGCCAUGAAGUGGGACAAAUUGAGGAGAGGGGAACUAGAUGGGCAGGCAGCCCCACACUUUCUUCUUGGAGUCCUGAGGGACCCAGGCCUCAAGUGCAUGGAGAA